UCUCCGUUGGUGAACCAGCGGAGGGAUCAUUAUCGAGUUUAUAACUCCCAAACCCUAUGUGAACUUACCACUUGUUGCUUCGGCGCGCGCUUCGGUGCCGCCGAGGACACUUAAACUCUUUGUUUUUAUAAGCAUUUCUGAGUGGCCGAAAGGCAAAAUACAAACGAAUCAAAACUUUCAACAACGGAUCUCUUGGUUCUG
rnacentral:misc_RNA from 1 species